UUAAGCGACUAAGCGUACACGGUGGAUGCCCUGGCAGUCAGAGGCGAUGAAGGACGUGCUAAUCUGCGAAAAGCGUCGGUAAGGUGAUAUGAACCGUUAUAACCGGCGAUGUCCGAAUGGGGAAACCCAGUGCAAUUCGUUGCACUAUCGUUAACUGAAUACAUAGGUUAACGAGGCGAACCGGGGGAACUGAAACAUCUAAGUACCCCGAGGAAAAGAAAUCAACCGAGAUUCCCCCAGUAGCGGCGAGCGAACGGGGAGCAGCCCAGAGUCUGAAUCAGCUUGUGUGUUAGUGGAACGGUCUGGAAAGUCCGACGGUACAGGGUGAUAGUCCCGUACACCAAAAUGCACAGGCUGUGAACUCGAAGAGUAGGGCGGGACACGUGGUAUCCUGUCUGAAUAUGGGGGGACCAUCCUCCAAGGCUAAAUACUCCUGACUGACCGAUAGUGAACCAGUACCGUGAGGGAAAGGCGAAAAGAACCCCGGCGAGGGGAGUGAAAAAGAACCUGAAACCGUGUACGUACAAGCAGUGGGAGCACCUUCGGGUGUGACUGCGUACCUUUUGUAUAAUGGGUCAGCGACUUAUAUUCUGUAGCAAGGUUAACCGUAUAGGGGAGCCGCAGGGAAACCGAGUCUUAACUGGGCGUUAAGUUGCAGGGUAUAGACCCGAAACCCGGUGAUCUAGCCAUGGGCAGGUUGAAGGUUGGGUAACACUAACUGGAGGACCGAACCGACUAAUGUUGAAAAAUUAGCGGAUGACUUGUGGCUGGGGGUGAAAGGCCAAUCAAACCGGGAGAUAGCUGGUUCUCCCCGAAAGCUAUUUAGGUAGCGCCUCGUGAACUCAUCUUCGGGGGUAGAGCACUGUUUCGGCUAGGGGGUCAUCCCGACUUACCAACCCGAUGCAAACUACGAAUACCGAAGAAUGUUAUCACGGGAGACACACGGCGGGUGCUAACGUCCGUCGUGAAGAGGGAAACAACCCAGACCGCCAGCUAAGGUCCCAAAGUCAUGGUUAAGUGGGAAACGAUGUGGGAAGGCACAGACAGCCAGGAUGUUGGCUUAGAAGCAGCCAUCAUUUAAAGAAAGCGUAAUAGCUCACUGGUCGAGUCGGCCUGCGCGGAAGAUGUAACGGGGCUAAACCAUGCACCGAAGCUGCGGCAGCGACACUAUGUGUUGUUGGGUAGGGGAGCGUUCUGUAAGCCUGCGAAGGUGUGCUGUGAGGCAUGCUGGAGGUAUCAGAAGUGCGAAUGCUGACAUAAGUAACGAUAAAGCGGGUGAAAAGCCCGCUCGCCGGAAGACCAAGGGUUCCUGUCCAACGUUAAUCGGGGCAGGGUGAGUCGACCCCUAAGGCGAGGCCGAAAGGCGUAGUCGAUGGGAAACAGGUUAAUAUUCCUGUACUUGGUGUUACUGCGAAGGGGGGACGGAGAAGGCUAUGUUAGCCGGGCGACGGUUGUCCCGGUUUAAGCAUGUAGGCUGGUUAUCCAGGCAAAUCCGGAUAAUCAAGGCUGAGGUGUGAUGACGAGGCACUACGGUGCUGAAGUAACAAAUGCCCUGCUUCCAGGAAAAGCCUCUAAGCAUCAGGUAACAUCAAAUCGUACCCCAAACCGACACAGGUGGUCAGGUAGAGAAUACCAAGGCGCUUGAGAGAACUCGGGUGAAGGAACUAGGCAAAAUGGUGCCGUAACUUCGGGAGAAGGCACGCUGGUGUGUAGGUGAAGCCCCUGCGGGUGGAGCUGAGACCAGUCGAAGAUACCAGCUGGCUGCAACUGUUUAUUAAAAACACAGCACUGUGCAAACACGAAAGUGGACGUAUACGGUGUGACGCCUGCCCGGUGCCGGAAGGUUAAUUGAUGGGGUUAUCCGUAAGGAGAAGCUCUUGAUCGAAGCCCCGGUAAACGGCGGCCGUAACUAUAACGGUCCUAAGGUAGCGAAAUUCCUUGUCGGGUAAGUUCCGACCUGCACGAAUGGCGUAAUGAUGGCCAGGCUGUCUCCACCCGAGACUCAGUGAAAUUGAACUCGCUGUGAAGAUGCAGUGUACCCGCGGCAAGACGGAAAGACCCCGUGAACCUUUACUAUAGCUUGACACUGAACAUUGAGCCUUGAUGUGUAGGAUAGGUGGGAGGCUUUGAAGCGUGGACGCCAGUCUGCGUGGAGCCAACCUUGAAAUACCACCCUUUAAUGUUUGAUGUUCUAACGUUGGCCCCUUACCGGGGUUGCGGACAGUGUCUGGUGGGUAGUUUGACUGGGGCGGUCUCCUCCCAAAGCGUAACGGAGGAGCACGAAGGUUAGCUAAUCCUGGUCGGACAUCAGGAGGUUAGUGCAAUGGCAUAAGCUAGCUUGACUGCGAGCGUGACGGCGCGAGCAGGUGCGAAAGCAGGUCAUAGUGAUCCGGUGGUUCUGAAUGGAAGGGCCAUCGCUCAACGGAUAAAAGGUACUCCGGGGAUAACAGGCUGAUACCGCCCAAGAGUUCAUAUCGACGGCGGUGUUUGGCACCUCGAUGUCGGCUCAUCACAUCCUGGGGCUGAAGUAGGUCCCAAGGGUAUGGCUGUUCGCCAUUUAAAGUGGUACGCGAGCUGGGUUUAGAACGUCGUGAGACAGUUCGGUCCCUAUCUGCCGUGGGCGCUGGAGAAUUGAGGGGGGCUGCUCCUAGUACGAGAGGACCGGAGUGGACGCAUCACUGGUGUUCGGGUUGUCAUGCCAAUGGCACUGCCCGGUAGCUAAAUGCGGAAGAGAUAAGUGCUGAAAGCAUCUAAGCACGAAACUUGCCCCGAGAUGAGUUCUCCCUGAGACUUUAAGUCUCCUGAAGGAACGUUGAAGACGACGACGUUGAUAGGCCGGGUGUGUAAGCGCAGCGAUGCGUUGAGCUAACCGGUACUAAUGAACCGUGAGGCUUAACCUU
rnacentral:rRNA from 2 species